rnacentral:rRNA from 1 species
UACAGAGGUCUCAAGCGUUGUUCGGAUUCAUUGGGCGUAAAGGGUGCGUAGGCGGCGCGGUAAGUCGGGUGUGAAAUCUCGGAGCUUAACUCCGAAACUGCAUUCGAUACUGCCGUGCUUGAGGACUGGAGAGGAGACUGGAAUUUACGGUGUAGCGGUGAAAUGCGCAGAUAUCAGGAGGAAUACCUAUUGCGAAGGCAGCUCGCUGGGACGUAACUGACGCUGAGACGCGAAAGCGUGGGGAGCAAACAGG